CUAUACAUGACUCUGUGCAUAUCAAUAAGCGGAGGAAAAGAAACUAACAAGGAUUCCCCUAGUAACGGCGAGUGAAGCGGGAAGAGCUCAAAUUUGAAAUCUUAAAGGGUUUCCCUUUACGAAUUGUAGUUUAAAGAAGUGUUUUCUGUUGAGGUUUUGGUAAAAGUUCUUUGGAAUAGGACAUCAUAGAGGGUGAGAAUCCCGUAUUUGGCCUUUACUUUCAACUUUGUGAUACACUUUCAAAGAGUCGGAUUGUUUGGGAAUGCAGUCCAUAAUGGGUGGUAAAUUUCAUCUAAAGCUAAAUAUUGGCGAGAGACCGAUAGCGAACAAGUACCGUGAGGGAAAGAUGAAAAGAACUUUGAAAAGAGAGUUAAACAGUACGUGAAAUUGUCAAAAGGGAAGCGUUUGACACCAGUGUUGUUUUUCUGAAAAUCAAUUAAAGAACUGUUUAUGCUAAGCUGUUUAGACUUUAUCAGCUAACUGUUUAGUUUUGAGCUUUUCUUUAAUGCACUUUUCAGUUAACAAGUCAACAUCAAUUUCUUUUGCUGUAAAAAAGCUUGAGGAAGGUGGCUUGAGAUUCGUCUUAAGUGUUUAUAGCCUCUUGCCUAUGCAGUCCGGAGGAGAUUGAGGUCUGUAGCGUAGAUCCUUCGGGGCUAAAUGCAUUUGUGCUAAGUUAUAGCAUUUUAUAGACAACUUGUUGACUAUGAUUUGUCUUGUAGCUUACUCGCUUAUGUUAUUUUACCUACGCUUAGGAUGUUGACAGCAGUAUAGACUGU
rnacentral:rRNA from 1 species